rnacentral:rRNA from 1 species
UGGGGAAUAUUGCACAAUGGGCGCAAGCCUGAUGCAGCCAUGCCGCGUGUAUGAAGAAGGCCUUCGGGUUGUAAAGUACUUUCAGCGGGGAGGAAGGCGAUAAGGUUAAUAACCUCAUCGAUUGACGUUACCCGCAGAAGAAGCACCGGCUAACUCCGUGCCAGCAGCCGCGGUAAUACGGAGGGUGCAAGCGUUAAUCGGAAUUACUGGGCGUAAAGCGCACGCAGGCGGUCUGUCAAGUCGGAUGUGAAAUCCCCGGGCUCAACCUGGGAACUGCAUCUGAUACUGGCAAGCUUGAGUCUCGUAGAGGGGGGUAGAAUUCCAGGUGUAGCGGUGAAAUGCGUAGAGAUCUGGAGGAAUACCGGUGGCGAAGGCGGCCCCCUGGACGAAGACUGACGCUCAGGUGCGAAAGCGUGGGGAGCAAACAGG